rnacentral:rRNA from 1 species
UACGUAGGUGGCAAGCGUUGUCCGGAAUUAUUGGGCGUAAGGCGCGCGCAGGCGGUCCUUUAAGUCUGAUGUGAAAGCCCACGGCUCAACCGUGGAGGGUCAUUGGAAACUGGGGGACUUGAGUACAGAAGAGGAAAGUGGAAUUCCACGUGUAGCGGUGAAAUGCGUAGAGAUGUGGAGGAACACCAGUGGCGAAGGCGACUUUCUGGUCUGUAACUGACGCUGAGGCGCGAAAGCGUGGGGAGCAAACAGG